UUAUGAAGGAAGCAUGGUAAUAUAUACAGAAAUUGAAUUGGUCUCUUAGCCUAUCCUCUCUGAUGUUAUUUGGCUUUGAUUUGGGGACAUGGUUCCGUAGCAAAACA